rnacentral:tRNA from 3 species
GGACAGAUGGCCGAGUGGCUGAAGGCGCUGGUUUGCUAAACCGGUGUACAGGGUAAUUCUUGUACCGCGGGUUCGAAUCCCGCUCUGUCCU